rnacentral:rRNA from 1 species
UACGUAGGGGGCGAGCGUUGUCCGGAUUUAUUGGGCGUAAAGAGCUCGUAGGCGGUUCAGUAAGUCAGGUGUGAAAUCUUUGGGCUUAACCCAAAGCGUGCACUUGAUACUGCUGUGACUUGAGUUCGGUAGGGGAGUGGGGAAUUCCUAGUGUAGCGGUGAAAUGCGCAGAUAUUAGGAGGAACACCGGUGGCGAAGGCGCCACUCUGGGCCGAAACUGACGCUGAGGAGCGAAAGCGUGGGUAGCAAACAGG